rnacentral:lncRNA from 1 species
GAAAGGUACUUUUGUGUAGUAUGGUCAAUUUGUUGAGGUAUAAGUAUGGGAACGAGUCUAGAAGGUCCUUAGCACUGGUUUUAUCGAUGAGACUCAGCAAUGAUGGGACAUGGAUGAUGUUAUGAAAUUGAGGGACUAAUCUGGAAAGCUGCAGCGUCUACGGAGAAGUACAUGGAGGUUAGAUUUUUGAUUGAUUUUGCAGCAGAUUGUCACAUGCCUUGGUCAGGUUUACGG